GACGAACGCUGGCGGCAGGCUUAACACAUGCAAGCCGAACGCAUCCUUCGGGGUGAGUGGCAGACGGGUGAGUAACGCGUGGGAACGUGCCCUUCAGUUCGGGAUAACCCAGGGAAACUUGGGCUAAUACCGGAUACGUGCGAGAGCAGAAAGAUUUAUCGCUGAAGGAUCGGCCCGCGUCUGAAUAGCUAGUUGGUGGGGUAAUGGCCCACCAAGGCGACGAUCAGUAGCUGGUCUGAGAGGAUGAUCAGCCACAUUGGGACUGAGACACGGCCCAAACUCCUACGGGAGGCAGCAGUGGGGAAUAUUGGACGAUGGGCGCAAGCCUGAUCCAGCCAUGCCGCGUGAGUGAUGAAGGCCUUAGGGUUGUAAAGCUCUUUCGUCCGGGACGAUAAUGACGGUACCGGAAGAAGAAGCCCCGGCUAACUUCGUGCCAGCCGCCGCCGUAA
rnacentral:rRNA from 1 species